rnacentral:misc_RNA from 1 species
AAAAACUGCUCGAUCAUCGCGGGAAAAACGAUGACAGCUUGUUAUAUCGGCGUUGAUGUUGGAACUAAAAGUGUUAGAGCUGCAGUCGUUAAUCGGAAUGGAAAGGUUGUUGCUAAGGCAACCAAAGAUAUUCUUAUUUGGAACCCCGAUGAAGAUUUUUAUGUCCAGUCAUCAGAGAACAUAUGGGAAGCAGUGAUUCAUGCUGUUAAGGCAGUGAUAGAAAAGUCAGGUGUUGAAAAGGGCUAUAUCCAUGGAAUUGGCUUUGAUGCAACAUGCUCCUUAGUUGUCCUUGAUGCUGAUGGAAAGCCAGUAUCAGUUUCUCAUGGUUCUUCUCAUGAGGAAUGUAAUAUUGUAAUGUGGAUGGAUCACAGAGCGUCAGAGGAAGCUAUAUUUAUAAACUCGACCAACCAUGAAGCCUUGAAAUGCAUGGGGGGUCAAAUGUCGCUGGAGAUGCAGCCUCCAAAACUUUUGUGGUUGAAGAAGAAUUUGCCUGACACCUGGAAUAAGGCCGGCCAUUUCUUUGAUUUGCCGGACUUUCUCACUUGGAAAGCAACAGGAGACACAUCAAGUGGUCUUAUCAAGCAGACAGUUUGGGAACUAGAGAGUGGAACCAGGAUUUCUACAAGACCAUAGGACUUGAGGAUUUGCUGAGUAACAAUGCUACAAAAAUUGGAAAGAACAUCCAGUCUCCAGGGGCCCCAUGUGGGAGUGGCCUGUGUGACUCUGUAGCCAUGGCAAUGGGUCUUAAUGCAGGGACUCCAGUGGGAACAUCCAUUGUUGAUGCACAUGCUGGUGUUAUAGGGUCUGUAGGUUGUGUUCCAAAGGCCACCACAGAGGACAAACCAUUUCCUUUACCAGAUCUAACAUCCAGAUUGGUUCUUAUCUGUGGAACAUCUAAUUGUCACAUGGUCGUCUCUACAAUGCAGAGGGAGGGCAGAGUGCUGGGGGUAAACUGAUAGAUGAAAUAAUUGAGUCUCACCCAGCUUACAUCGAGGCUAUGAAAGAUGCUGAGGCACUCAGUAAACAAAGAGGCAAACCAGUUCAUAUCCAUGAUUAUUUGAAUGAUUGGCUGAACACCUACAAAACGAGAGACAACUUGCCAUUUGUUAGUUACUUGACCAAGGAUUUCCAUCUGUAUCCAGAUUUCUAUGGAAAUAGGUCACCAUUAGCUGACCCAACUCUUAAAGGAAUGAAAUGUGGAUUGACCUUCUCGGUAAACUUAAAGGAUCUUGCCACACAAUACUUGGCUUCCAUACAGGCACUAGCAUAUGGGACUAGGCACAUCAUUGAUGAAAUGAAAAAGGCCGGACAUUCAGUAGAAAUUAUCUACAUGUGUGGAGGUCUUAGCAAAAAUUCCCUGUAUGUGGAAACCCAUGCCAAUGUUUUAGGUUUACCUGUGGUUCUGCCACUAGACGAGGAGUCGGUGCUUGUAGGGUCAGCGGUACUGGGAGCCAGUGCCUCCAAGGACUUCAGUACCAUACAGGAUGCCAUGCUGAGUAUGUGUGGAGAAGGAACAGUUACAGAACCAUCCAAGUCAGAGGCUGAGUUCCAUGAUAAAAAGUAUCAAGUGUUCAGGAAAAUGGUGGAAGACCAGAAACAAUACAGAGCAAUAAUGAAUGGUUGAAAUUGGCAUCAAAAUGAUGUUGUUUACUGAGAGUACAGAGCAUUUAUUUCUUGUUUAAUUACAACUCUAAUGCAUUUAACCACAGGAGGUGCAAAUCAGUUAUUAUUGGAAACUAGUUAUUGUAGAUUUACAUGUACAUAAAAAUUGGGCAAUUGUUAUAUUAUUAUUUUUACGACGAAAAAGACACAUACCGGUAAAUUGGUAGCAUAUAUAACCAUUCUGUACUUUUAUUGAUUUUAAGCAAGCUUGUGACACUAUUUGGAGAGGUGGUCUAUUGUAUAAAAUGCUAUUUAUUGGAAGUGUUUUGUUUGCAUCAAAAAUAUGUUUAUUAUGUUCUUAUUUGUUCCAUUCAAACAAACAUAAAUAAUUCAUGAAAUAAAACACAAACACAUAUGUUAGGAUUUG